rnacentral:rRNA from 1 species
UACGUAGGGUGCAAGCGUUAAUCGGAAUUACUGGGCGUAAAGCGUGCGCAGGCGGUUGUGCAAGACAGAUGUGAAAUCCCCGGGCUUAACCUGGGAACUGCGCUUCUAACUGGCAGGCUAGAGUGUGGCAGAGGGGGGUGGAAUUCCACGUGUAGCAGUGAAAUGCGUAGAGAUGUGGAGGAACACCGAUGGCGAAGGCAGCCCCCUGGGCUAACACUGACGCUCAUGCACGAAAGCGUGGGGAGCAAACAGG